rnacentral:rRNA from 1 species
GACGACGCUGGCGGCGUGGAUUAGGCAUGCAAGUCGAACGGUAUCAUCCUUUCGGGGGUGAGAGAGUGGCGAACUGGUGAGUAACACGUAGGUUAUCUACCCUCAAGACGGGGACAACCCAGGGAAACUUGGGCUAAUACCGGAUGUGAGCAACUUUUAGUGUUUGAAAGGUGGCGUAAGCUGUCGCUUGGGGAUGAGCCUGCGUCCUAUUAGUUAGUUGGUGAGGUAACGGCUCACCUAGGCAAUGAUAGGUAGGCGGCCUUAACGGGCGGUCGCCCACACUGGGAUUGAGAUACGGCCCAGACUCCUACGGGAGGCAGCAGUCGAGAAUAGUCUACAAUGGUCGGAAGACUGAUAGUGCGACGCCGCGUGAACGAUGAAUCCCUUCGGGGUGUAAAGUUCUUUUAUAUGUGAGCAGUGCUUCUUAUAUUAACAGUAUGGGGAGAGAGAUAUUAGCAUAUGAAUAAGCAACGGCUAACUCCGUG